GGGAGUGUGGAAACCCUCCAGUGUAUUGGAUAUUUAAAAAAUUACCAUACUUAUGAAAACUACGGUUAUUAAAGCAUACGUUAAAUCCUUAAUCACACAAAUUAAAAAAUUAAAAUUAAUCUUAAUUAAAAAAACCUUAAUCUAAUUCCAUUGCGACCUCUUUUCCUUCCCUCUCUAUAUAUCUUUUCUUCUCUUGUUUUACAGCUAAACCGAAACCCAAGCUGAAGUGGCAAGGCCAAGAAAAUCCGAAAACAAGAAAACAAAUUUGCCGACCCUUUUUCCCUCUCUCUUUCUCGCCGGAGCAUAGAACGAAACGGAGAGAUAAAUUUCUUUGCAGCGAUCCGGCUUUUAUCUUGGAUGGCUACCUCCCAUUUCGUAGUGUUUUAUAGUGUCUUGGUUUGAGAGAAGCCGGAAAGUGAAAAAGAUGCGGAAGCGGAGAUGGAGGGCGGUGCUGGUUUUGCGGAAGUUUCUAACGUGUGCUAUAUGCGUAAUAACGAUGACGGCUUUGCUCUCUGUACAUGUGCAGGUAUUCUCUUCCUCCAGAGCUCCUGACUUACCUGAUCCGUACAAGCUCCCCACUACUACCACUCAGCAGCUUGAUGUCAAUAAAUACUCAAGAUUGGGCAUUGAGCAAGAACAAAGCUGGAGCAGAGAGCAAACUCCACCCCAUUUGUCCAAACCACCUCUUCCUUCUCACAAGGUCUUUAUAUCCUUCUGCUUUUUCGUCUUUCAGUUGAUUUCCUUGUAAAGCGUAGAAAAUUUUCUUUUUUAAUGAUUAAGGAAACCAAGGCAAUGCUAAUAACAAAGGAUAAAUUUCUACUUCUUAUUGCCGUUUUCUUAUUACUGCCAUUUUAUUGCAUAGUUGUGGAGACCUGUGGAUAGAGUCUCAUAGAUUUAGGUUUAUGUUUUGAUACAAAGCAGUCAUGCAUCUUUCAUGUUUUCACUCCUUUAGACUUGACAGUUGGAUGGUGCUAGGGGGAAUUUGGAUUCCAAGCUAUGGAAGCCUCCAGCAAAUCGUGAUUAUUGGCCAUGUGUAGAGCCUGGUCCUAACUAUACAUCACCUGGGGAGUCAGAAGGUUACCUUCUAGUUCAUACAAAUGGUGGGCUCAACCAGAUGCGAGCUGGGGUCUGCAUUUAUUUUCUUUUCACGUGAAAUUAUAUAUUGAUACUUGUUACUAUCCUUGCCAGCUGCAGAUUUAUUAAGCCAAAAAAAUUUCUAGUUGUUUAAAUCUUCUAGAGUGAUAAUUGUUGGGUCUGUUUAAAUUUGUAAUUCAUCUUAUGUUCUUUUAAGAUAAAGAAGCUGUUAUUAUGGUUCUAUGUUGCCUUUAGUGAGUCUCAUGCAGCAUCCUUCAUCAUUAAGAGAAUCUUUCCUCAGUUAUCGUACCCAUCGCAAUACUGAUUCAAGUCUUAUGCUUUUGUCUGAUUUGUUUUGGUUCAUUUUAUCUUUUAAUAUUAAUGUGAAAAUGAAAAUUUUAAUUUAUUAAUGUCUAUUUGGAUGUUUUGAUUGAUUAUUAGUUAACGAAAUUAUAUAAUAUUCUGUUAUUUCUAUUUGAGCAUUAGAGCAGUGUCAUUGUUGAAUUGCAGAUUUGUGAUAUGGUAGCUGUUGCCCGAAUAAUAAAUGCCACUCUUGUUGUUCCUGAAUUGGACAAAAGGUCAUUUUGGCAAGACACCAGCAACUUUUCGGAUGUUUUUGAUGAAGAUCAUUUUAUCAAUGCUCUAGCCAGUGAUGUAAAAGUCAUAAAAAGGCUGCCUAAGGAAAUGUCUAGUGUUUCUAAAAUAGUUAAGCAUUUUAGAAGCUGGUCUGGUAUGGACUACUACGAAGGGGAGAUAGCAAGCAUGUGGGAAGAUUAUCAGGUUAUUCGAGCUGCCAAGUCUGACUCUCGCCUGGCAAACAACAAUCUCCCUCCAGAUAUUCAGAAGCUGCGUUGCCGUGCUUGUUAUCAAGCCCUCCGUUUUGCACCUCGAAUUGAAGAGAUGGGAAAAAUGUUGGUGGAGCGGAUGAGGUUAUAUGGUCCAUACAUUGCUUUACAUUUGCGAUAUGAAAAGGACAUGCUUGCCUUUAGUGGAUGUACACAUGGUUUAUCUAGUGCUGAAGCUGAUGAAUUGAAGAAGAUCAGAGAAGAAACUGCAUACUGGAAAGUAAAGCAGAUUGAUUCUAGGGAGCAGAGAUCCAAAGGUUAUUGCCCUCUAAUUCCAAAAGAGGUUGCUAUGUUUCUCACUGCACUGGGAUACCCCUCAAACACCCCAAUAUACAUUGCCGCAGGAGAGAUAUAUGGAGGUGAUUCUCACAUGGUCGACCUGCAAUCCCGCUAUCCCAUUUUAAUGAGCAAGGAAAAAUUGGCUUCUGUUGAGGAGCUUGAACCAUUUACUAAUCAUGCAUCUCAAAUGGCUGCGCUCGACUAUAUUGUUUCCAUUGAAAGUGAUGUGUUUAUUCCAUCAUACUCUGGAAACAUGGCAAGGGCAGUGGAAGGUCACCGUCGUUUUCUGGGACAUAGAAAAACAAUUUCUCCUGAUAGGAAACAACUUGUUCGUUUGUUUGACAAAAUUGAACGGGGAAAACUGAAAGAAGGUGAAAGUUUAUCAAAGAAUAUCAUUGAAAUCCACAAAAGACGGCAAGGAUCACCAAGGAGGAGAAAAGGUCCCAUCUCAGGAACAAAGGGCAUGGAUAGGUUUCGUUCUGAAGAAGCCUUUUAUGUAAAUCCCUUGCCUGAUUGUUUGUGUCAGAGGCAUUCACCGAAUCUGAACAUCUCUCUCGUGAUCAAAUAGUUUGGGUGCGGAAGAAUAAUUCCCUUUGGGAAAAAGUCCCUGUGAUGGCAGGAUACUGACAGUUUGACGAGUCAGCAUCUGUAGAAGCUUUUACAAACUGGUUGUGCCAUUAAGAGUUAGGGAUGCAGAUUCUGUAACCUUGAGUUUAGAUGAAGGGAUGAAAUAUUGGAGAUUUAGAUGAAAGAUUAUUUGCAGAAUGCAGUUGGCUGCAAGGAGGAAUGGGGAAUACCUGUAAACAGGACUUGCUUCUAUCAAGGAAUAUUGCAAGUGCUUGGACAUUACUGGCAAAAAUUUCAUUUACUGGCGUUUGGGAUUUCAUUGGGGAUGCGAUGCUUGUGUUACUGCUAAUCUCAGAAAUGAUGUUUCUUCUUUUUCCCCACUUUAUUUUUUUUAAUUCUUUUUUGAUGUAUCUAUUCUAUUGAUGGUCAUUCAAUGCAAUAAAAUGAAAAAAUUACUUGCCUUUCCUCCUCGCAUAAAAAUGUAGGGGAAUCUGCCCUGGACUUAAAUGAUCAAGAAUUUCUGUUCCUGUUGCUGCAUUGUAUCUUUAAUACGGUAUGAGAAUCAGCAAGCUAGCUAAUAGUUAGGUAGUUUAUUCAAGAAAUUUGAGAUUGAAUUUCACUUCAACUCAAAAUGUAUAACCUACCCUUUGAAAAAGGGAAAUAAGAAGCUUGCUAAUGUUAUUAAAAAAGAGUUGAGAUAGUGUGUGUUUGGAGGCGUUGCAAACCUUUCCACGAUAUGGCAUGGAUAUACGAUCAGAAUUCUCACCAGAACGGAUUAAUCAAUCGGGAUUAUUAUCCAUUUCCA
rnacentral:misc_RNA from 1 species